UUAUUAUUCUCCUGCUCUUGUUGUAUCGCUGCAGACAGUCCAAGUAUUCCUGCUUCACCAGGUCGAUCCAGUCUGAGAGUCACAGUCCGGGCUCCUCCACAAAUCAUGGAGUCAACCAGGAUGAAACUCAUGUGUACGACUCUGUUCAUCCUGGUACCAAUAACAUAUAUGAAUCUGUUACGCAGGUUGAAGACAACAGAAAUGGAUCAGAUGAACAUCAAGAUGUCACAUACGCUCUUAUUGAACUUAAAAACCUUGAAAAGAAGAGGAAGCAUCAUAAACCAGAGCAGAGUGCUGUUUACUCUGAGGUGAAGACGGGAGCUGCAGAGGACAGUCUGAUGUAUGCUG